rnacentral:lncRNA from 1 species
CAUCAGGUCGGGCUCUUUUACCCUCCCAGAGUGGGAUGGGCAAGAGACAGCCCUUUCCAAGCCCCACAGAGAGUCCACAGAGCCCAGUCCCACACUCACAGGGGCUGCCUGGGGACCCCAAGAGCAGAACUGGGGGGUGAGCUGCAGAGUGGGGUCGGCUUCUCAGCGUAAGACCCAAAGAUAUCCUGUUUGAUGGGUAUCUUCCCAUCACCCAUCUCCUGAAUGCCUGAAUGAAAUAGGGAUCAGGCCGGGGUGUCCCGGCCCCCCACCUCUCCCAGGCCUGCUGCUGCCCUGUCUGUGUCCCUCCCAUGCAGAUCCCACCUGUAACAAUCCAACUGGCAGCUGGAGACUCUCCUUGCCCGUCAUCAUCUGCAUCAUCCUGGGAGCCCUGCUCUGCCUGCUCCUGGCCCUCCUGGCCAGGCAAGUGCGAAGCGCCAGGGCUGGGCGCAGAGGCUCUGAGAGAGCUCAGGAGCCCUUCCUGGAGGCCGUGUACGAGGAGAUCGAUUACAGCCCAGCGUGGGAGAAGCAGGCAAGGUUCAGCGGCCCAGGCUCCUAUUCCGAGGGGUCCCUGACCAAGCUGCAGUCCUACCCCGGG